AGUUUAAAAGGUCACCUUUGUGAAUUGAAUGCGUGCGUGUGUUUCUGUGUAGUGUAAACAGGUUAAGUUGGGUAAGGUGAAAGCCUCAUAUGAGGAGUUACUUGGAGUUAUUUGGAUGGCUUGGCCAAUGAAUAUUUCAUCAGAGUCGGAUGCCUCAGUAAACAGAACAGCGGCAACAGUUGAUGAUGUGAAGAAUAAUUCCCAGAACUCCUUGAGCUUACACAGUAGGCAGAUGCAGACGGAUGCAAAUGAAGAUGAAGCAUGCCAGCAGUGCAUGCAGCAAAAACAGUAGCAUAUCUGGCCAGGACUGUGAUGGCUGGCUGUGAUUGGGUAAGGAGGCGGAACCAGAUGACAUCACUCCACUCUGCUAUUACAACACAAAUCUACAAUCGUUGUUUGAGUGUAAUAUUUUAUGUAUGUGUAUUUAUUUGCAUAUACACUUUUAUGGGUGUGAUUUUUCUGGUAAAUCCUGGUGAAAUUAUUUCUAUUCAAGACUGUUUUGUGUGUUUGUUCGCGGAUCUGAAUUAAGUCUGAGCAGGGUUGCUUUCAUUGACUAUACAGUAUAUCAAAAUGCUUUUUCUGUAGUGUAAGAUGUUGUACGCACCAAAGAGCAGUAUUCUGCUAAUGAACUAAGAAGAAGAAGAAAGAAAAGGAGAAGA